GUGGGGAAUAUUGGACAAUGGGCGCAAGCCUGAUCCAGCCAUGCCGCGUGAGUGAUGAAGGCCUUAGGGUUGUAAAGCUCUUUCAGUGGGGACGAUAAUGACGGUACCCACAGAAGAAGCCCCGGCUAACUUCGUGCCAGCAGCCGCGGUAAUACGAAGGGGGCUAGCGUUGCUCGGAUUUACUGGGCGUAAAGGGCGCGUAGGCGGACAUUUAAGUCAGGGGUGAAAUCCCGGGGCUCAACCUCGGAACUGCCUUUGAUACUGGGUGUCUUGAGUCCGGAAGAGGUGAGUGGAACUCCUAGUGUAGAGGUGGAAUUCGUAGAUAUUAGGAAGAACACCAGUGGCGAAGGCGGCUCACUGGUCCGGUACUGACGCUGAGGUGCGAAAGCGUGGGGAGCAAACAGGAUUAGAUACCCUAGUAGUCC
rnacentral:rRNA from 1 species